rnacentral:rRNA from 1 species
CCUACGGGUGGCAGCAGUAGGGAAUAUUGCGCAAUGGACGAAAGCCUGACGCAGCAACGCCGCGUGAGGGAUGAAGGUCUUCGGCUCGUAAAGCUCUGUCAGCAGUGAAGAACGGUAACUGUGCUAAUCAGCCGUUAUUUGACGGUACCUGCUUAGGAAGCAACGGCUAACUACGUGCCAGCAGCCGCGGUAAUACGUAGGUGGCAAGCGUUUUCCGGAUUUAGUGGGCGUAAAGCGAGCGUAGGCGGUACAAUAAGUCAAACGUGAAAGCCUUGGGCUCAACCGGGGAAUUGCAUCAGAAACUGGUGAACUGGAGUGUAUGAGAGGAUAGUGGAAUUCCAGGUGUAGGGGUGGAAUGCGUAGAUAUAUGGAGGAACAGCAGUGGCGAAGGCGACUAUCUGGCAUGUAACUGACGCUGAGGAGCGAAAGCGUGGGUAGCGAACAGGAUUAGAUACCCUAGUAGUC